rnacentral:piRNA from 1 species
UAUACUUGAUACACAUUCACGGACUUCAAAG